rnacentral:rRNA from 1 species
CGGGACGGGUGAGUAAUGUCCGGGAAACUGCCUGAUGGAGGGGGAUAACUACUGGAAACGGUAGCUAAUACCGCAUAACGUCGCAAGACCAAAGAGGGGGACCUUCGGGCCUCUUGCCAUCGGAUGUGCCCAGAUGGGAUUAGCUAGUAGGUGGGGUAACGGCUCACCUAGGCGACGAUCCCUAGCUGGUCUGAGAGGAUGACCAGCCACACUGGAACUGAGACACGGUCCAG